CCUACGGGAGGCAGCAGUGAGGAAUAUUGGUCAAUGGACGAGAGUCUGAACCAGCCAAGUAGCGUGAAGGAUGACUGCCCUAUGGGGUGUAAACUUCUUUUAUAAAGGAAUAAAACGAGGCACGGGUGCCUGUUGGCAUGUACGGUAUGAAUAAGGAUCGGCUAACUCCGUGCCAGCAGCCGCGGUAAUACGGAGGAUCCGAGCGUUAUCCGGAUUGAUUGGGUUUAAAGGGAGCGUAGAUGGGUUGUUAAGUCAGUUGUGAAAGUUUGCGGCUCAACCGUAAAAUUGCAAUUGAUACUGGCAGUCUUGAUUACAGUUGCGGUAGGCGGACUUCGUGGUGUAGCGGU
rnacentral:rRNA from 1 species